AGCUAAUACUUGCUUUAGCACUCUUGAUUAAUUUCUUGAGUGUGUACUUGUUAAGCCUUUUAAGAAAAAAGUUAUUAACUUAAGGAAUUAUAACAAAGAAGUAACACGUAAUGGAUCCGUCCAUUUUUAGUGUGUAUCAAUCGAGUUUCUGACCUAUCAGCUUUUGAUGUUAGGGUAUUGGCCUAACAUGGCUAUGACGGGUAACGGGGAAUUAGAGUUCGAUUCCGGAGAGGGAGCCCGAGAAAUAGCUACCACAUCUAAGGAAGGCAGCAGGCGCGUAAAUUACCCAAUUCUAAAGAAGAGAGGUAGUGACAAGAAAUAACAAUACAAGGCCAAUCUGGCUUUGUAAUUGGAAUGAUGGGAAUUUAAAACCUUCCCAAAACUCAAUUGGAGGGCAAGUCUGGUGCCAGCAGCCGCGGUAAUUCCAGCUCCAAUAGCGUAUAUUAAAAUUGUUGCAGUUAAAACGCUCGUAGUUGAAUUUCAAAGAAUCGAUAUUUUAAGUAACGCUCUUAGCUUAAUCCACAUAACUGAUACUACGUAUCGACUUUGUGCGCAUUUUGCUAUUAUGUGUUCUUUUAAUUAAAAUGAUUCUUUUUAAGAUCUUUUUUUGUUUCGGCAUUGAAAGGUCUUGUUACUUUGAGUAAAUUAGAGUGUUCAAAGCAAACAGAUAUAGCAUUGCGCGUUUGAAUACUACAGCAUGGAGUAACAAAAUUGAACAAGUCAGAAUUUUGUUCUUUUUUCUUAUUUUGGCUUAGUUACGAUUAAUAGGAGUAGCUUGGGGGCAUUUGUAUUCAGAUGUCAGAGGUGAAAUUCUUAGAUUUUCUGGAGACAAACAACUGCGAAAGCAUUUGCCUAAAAUACUUCCAUUAAUCAAGAGCGAAAGUUAAGGGAGUGAAGACGAUCAGAUACCGUCGUAAUCUUAACCAUAAACUAUGCCGACUAGGCUUUGGAUGAAAGAUUUUAAAAUAAGA
rnacentral:rRNA from 1 species